UCCGGAGGGUGCAAGCGUUAUCCGGAUUCACUGAGUUUAAAGGGUGCGUAGGUGGCUUUGUAAGUCAGUGGUGAAAUCUUAGAGCUUAACUCUAAAACUGCCAUUGAUACUGCUUAGCUUGAAUCAAGUAGAGGUGGAUGGAAUAAUACAUGUAGCGGUGAAAUGCUUAGAUAUGUAUUAGAACACCGAUUGCGAAGGCAGUUCACUAUGCUUGUAUUGACACUGAGGCACGAAAGCGUGGGGAUCAAACAGG
rnacentral:rRNA from 1 species